UUUAAAAUAACACCGAAGCGGCGCACCCCCUUUUACUGUUCAUCUUUUUCACUGAGCUUGCCCUCAACUCGCCUGGAGCUCACCCGAGUUCACUCAUUGGUCCCCUCCUCUCCACGUCACCUCUAUUUCCUAACGGAUUUGUCAUAGAGGAGUACGAUUAUUCCCUCAGAACCGCGGAUUUUUGUACAAAAAGGACGAUUUGUUGGACGAAUAGGAGUCGUGGAUAGAUAUGAAUCAAUCUACACCCUUCAUUUGUCCCAAAAAUUGUUCAAGAAUUUAAAGGAUUUUUCGAAUUUGGGCAGAUUUUUGGAGAUUUUUGAAAGCUAUAUAUAUAAGAAAAGAUACAAAAAGCAAAAAGAAAACAAAUGGCUUGAGUUCAGCUUUCAUUCGAGUUUUUUUUAAGAGAAAAAAAAAAGGCUACUGAAACAGAUAUCCUUUUAGCCUUGGUUCUUUUCUUGAUUUCUGGUUCUAAAAGGAAGCUUUGGAUUAAAUUCCAAGUUGAAGUUUGUGGCUGGGAUUCUGAAUUUCUAGGCUCUAUUGAUUCUGUCCGAGUAGGUCUUUCGCAAUUUUAAUUUGGCUAUAGUUUCUGCUCAACUUUGUUGUCACAUUUCUUUGUAUUCGACUCCAGAAUUAAUUGAAACAUUUCGCAUUCAGGUUAACCUCCUAUCUUCUUCUUUCUCUACUAUUAUUCAUGUUGAAUUGAAGCCUUGGAAGAAUCAUUAAGAGAUGAGUUUAAACCUAAGUAAUAGCAGAUUUUUUUUUAUUUCCUCCCCUGUUUACUUUAUGUCAUAAUACAUGAUGCCCUUUUCUUUA